rnacentral:rRNA from 1 species
UACGUAGGGGGCGAGCGUUGUCCGGAAUUAUUGGGCGUAAAGAGCGUGUAGGCGGUUCGGUAAGUCUGUCGUGAAAACCUGAGGCUCAACCUCGGGCGUGCGAUGGAUACUGCCGGGCUAGAGGAUGGUAGAGGCGAGUGGAAUUCCUGGUGUAGCGGUGAAAUGCGCAGAUAUCAGGAAGAACACCUAUGGCGAAGGCAGCACUCUGGGACGGUACUGACGCUGAGACGCGAAAGCGUGGGGAGCGAACAGG